rnacentral:rRNA from 1 species
AUUGAACGCUGGCGGCAGGCCUAACACAUGCAAGUCGAACGGCGCGGCGGACGGGUGAGUAAUGCCUAGGAAUCUGCCUGGUAGUGGGGGAUAUCGUCCAGAAACGGGCGCUAAUACCGCAUACUCUCAGAUGAGCCUAGGUCGGAUUAGCUAGUUGGUGGGGUAAAGGACUACCAAGGCGACGAUCCGUAACUGGUCUGAGAGGAUGAUCAGUCACACUGGAACUGAGACACGGUCCAGAAUCCUACGGGAGGCAGCAGUGGGGAAUAUUGGACAAUGGGCGAAAGUCUGAUCCAGCCAUGCCGCGUGUGUGAAGAAGGUCUUCGGAUUGUAAAGCACUUUAAGUUGGGAGGCGUUACCAACAGAAUAAGCACCGGCUAACUUCGUGCCAGCAGCCGCGGUAAUUC